rnacentral:rRNA from 1 species
CCCCUACUCCUACGGGAGGCAGCAGUAGGGAAUCUUCCACAAUGGACGAAAGUCUGAUGGAGCAACGCCGCGUGAGUGAAGAAGGUUUUCGGAUCGUAAAGCUCUGUUGUUAGAGAAGAAUGUAGGUAAGAGUAACUGUUUACCUAGUGACGGUAUCUAACCAGAA